CAGGAUGGGGACGAACAGACGGAAACGACUGCUAAUACCGAAUAAGUUCCAAGAGCCGCAUGGCCCAUGGAAGAAAAGGUGGCCUCUACCUGUAAGCUAUCGCCUGAAGAGGGGUUUGCGUCUGAUUAGCUGGUUGGAGGGGUAACGGCCCACCAAGGCGACGAUCAGUAGCCGGUCUGAGAGGAUGAACGGCCACACUGGAACUGAGACACGGUCCAGACUCCUACGGGAGGCAGCAUG
rnacentral:rRNA from 1 species